CCGAGGCGCGUUCACGAGAGCCCAGCUGUGUCACAAAGACUGAGAAGGGGGGGGGGGGGGUGUGCGCGCCUCACACAAUGGGCGCUGUACUACGCAGGCGCAGAGAUUCUACACAGGUGGUUUGAGUCGGUCUCAGGACAUCAUUCUUCCUUCAUUCUGUAACAACUCCGAGAAUAAGAAAGAAGAAGAGUUUCAUAAAUUGGAUGUAAGAAGAGUAGUCUUGCAUUAUUUGGAGGUUACCGAGUCUUGGAGGAUAUGUCAAGGCCCAAAUAAGGGAGAGACAACGUUUCAGCGAUCUCACACCGCCAUUUCAAGCAGGGAUUUCUUAUAUUGGAUGUGCUGCUCUUUAUUGGUUUAUACUUGUGGUGAACAAGUGUGCACCCCUCACGGACUAUGGAUAUUUCCCAUGACAACCAAAUUGGUUUGUCUUCUUCUAUUACUCAUUCCAUGGAUACUUUCUCUUAUACUGCACUGGACGUGGACAGAAUCAUUGGCAAUUCGACUAAUGAUGCAACAUUUUUGCGCAAUCCAUCUAAUCUGGACUUAAAAAGGAUUUAUGAGGCCGAAACCAAGAAAGCAUUGGGACUCCAACUACAUAUUACUUCAAUGUCUGAAUAUUAUCGCACCCGCAGGAUACCGAGAGGUGUGCCGUAUACAACCUCGGGCAAACUCCCAUAUUAAUGAUCCAGAAUACAGAGGUAAAUACGAGGCAAUCUCGAAUAAAUAUGCAUUGGACAUGAUACUAUUAAAUUUGGAAUUUCUUCAACGUGAUUUAUUAUCCUGUCAAACCAAUAUUGUUGAGUUGGAAAUUACUCUGAAAGAUUCCUUUGAAACAGAGGAAUUGAACAAAUUGAUGGAGAAACAACAAAAUUUUCUGAUAAAACAACGAGAAGCUAUUGAGGAAACUAAGCGAAGGAAGUGGUUUAGAGAUGAUCAGGACUAUGUUAAUGGCAGAGUGUAUGCCUGGGAUAAUGUGGCCAUGUCUGCGAGGAAAUCCAUGAAAAGGGGCAAUAUUGGCUCGGACGUGGAUGGAGGAACCCAUCUGCCAAGACAACCAAGAAACAAUAUGAAAGAACAGUCCAACAAACAACAACCUUUUUUAGAGACACAGUCAUCCCAAGUAGACGGCGGAGGGGCGGUCGGAGGCACUUUCGUGCCCGCAAAAAAGAUACAGCGGAAUACCUGGAAUCAGGGACAAGCCACAGGUGCACAGAAGAAGAAAUAGUGAAUAUGGACAUUUCUACUGUGUUAUUCAAGAUGAUACAUUCCGGUCUUGGAGUCCGCAAGAUUUGGAAACAGAAUUCCCAACUAUGAACCGCAAUUGUCAUUUUUUAUUUUUAUAUUCUAAUUGAGUUCAUAAUGUUUUAUUUUCUUCUAACCAAUACAGUGAUAGCGGUUACUUGUUCUAUCUAUUACUUAUUGAUUUGGUGUCUAGACCCUUGGAUGAGUGGUACUUGGAUGUUGGGAAACCCAUUUAGACACUUCCACCACUAAAAUGGUUCCGACUGGAGUAUAUUCCAAUAGUCCGGCAGGUGAAUUACCAAAUCCGGUAAUUUGGAGUAGCGCACUAAUGGGUCCUAUGGAUCCAAUUAGACGCACCCAGCGGAGUCCAUUAAGGAGGAAUGCUGUGUCUGGGUUCCCGUGUUUGUACUCCUAGUGUGCAUGCAGGGUGACACAACAUUUGAUUUCACUCAAAAAAAAU